rnacentral:rRNA from 1 species
AGUGAACGCUGGCGGCGUGCUUAACACAUGCAAGUCGAACGAGAACGGGUUAUAGCUUGCUAUAAUUGUCAGCUAAGUGGCGCACGGGUGAGUAAUGUAUAGGUAAUAUGCCUCUUACUAAGGGAUAACAAAUGGAAACGUUUGCUAAUACCUUAUACUCCUUACUAACUAAAGUUAGUAAGGGAAAGAUUUAUUGGUAAGAGAUUAGCCUGUAUUGUAUCAGUUAGUUGGUGGGGUAAUGGCCUACCAAGACAAUGACGCAUAACUGGUUUGAGAGGAUGAUCAGUCACACUGGAACUGAGACACGGUCCAGACUCCUACGGGAGGCAGCAGUGGGGAAUAUUGCACAAUGGACGGAAGUCUGAUGCAGCAACGCCGCGUGGAGGAUGACACAUUUCGGUGCGUAAACUCCUUUUAUAUAAGAAGAUAAUGACGGUAUUAUAUGAAUAAGCACCGGCUAACUCCGUGCCAGCAGCCGCUGUAA